ACACGUCUUUUUGUGAUCGUGGCAUGUCGUGCCUGCAGUGUGCUACCUCGGCGUGUGAUGAGUGCGCGCGCGAUAUUGCAGUCUCUGUGUGGUCGUGUUACUGAUUUGCGAACAUGAGAGACGUACCACUUAAGCGUUGUGUGCAGAGGUGCCGCGCAAACUACCCUAUCGAGCCGGUGUUUUUCUACUUCCCGAAGGACGAAAGCCGCCGUCGUAAGUUGUUAUGGGCUAUACCGGGGAAGCAAUACGAAGCGAACAGCUCUACGGAGGUGCAAAGAUAAAUGAAUGUUGAACUUCCAAGUACUUACUGCCAAUUUCCAUCUCUUCAAUUUCAUUAUCAGCAUCUGCAAAAUGAACAAGGAGGAUUGUGGCUCGAACAAAUAGCGAAAGAUGCAAGUCCUGCAAAGCCCUUCAAAAAAGACCUGAAGCAAAUUCUCUAACCUAAUAGCGUCC